rnacentral:rRNA from 1 species
GARGUUGGCGKGACGGGUGAKUWAUGUCUGGGAAACUGCCCGAUGGAGGGGGAUAACUACUGGAAACGGUAGCUAAUACCGCAUAACGUCUACGGACCAAAGUGGGGGACCUUCGGGCCUCACGCCAUCGGAUGUGCCCAGAUGGGAUUAGCUAGUAGGUGGGGUAACGGCUCACCUAGGCGACGAUCCCUAGCUGGUCUGAGAGGAUGACCAGCCACACUGGAACUGAGACACGGUCCAGACUCCUACGGGAGGCAGCAGUGGGGAAUAUUGCACAAUGGGCGCAAGCCUGAUGCAGCCAUGCCGCGUGUAUGAAGAAGGCCUUCGGGUUGUAAAGUACUUUCAGCGGGGAGGAAGGCGAUGGGGUUAAUAACCCCGUCGAUUGACGUUACCCGCAGAAGAAGCACCGGCUAACUCCGUGCCAGCMGCCGCGGUAAUACAA